CUCAGCUGCUCUGAGCACACGAAACAAAUUUCCAUCCUGAAACUUUCUCCUGGCUGUUGAGAGGGUCAAGGUGGCUGUUGUCUCUCUAACCUUUGCUGAUGAAAGCAUCCAGUCAGUGCGUGCUCUUCUUCGCAGCUUUAGCUUUUCAUAUCCUGUCUUGGAAACUGCCUUGGGAAUAUCUGAGAAGUCGCAGUUUUUCAUUUCUUUAUGACAAGCUGUUUUUUUUAUGUUCAACGCCAAGAAGAUCUUUGUGCACGAACAAUUUGCUCAGCAGCUACCACUGCCAGGUGGUUCUGAGGAGGCUACGUUCAAUAGAAAGCUAUAGGCAAAGGAACGACACCAAAGCCUAAAUUUAGUGCCCUGUGUUUGUGAGCAAUCUGCAAUUAGCAAACAAUGAAGCUGAGCAUGUGAUGGCUGCAGAGAAAGGAGCUGUGCUAGACAGCCUUUCUUCUUGCAGAAGAGCGUGGAUUUUGUACGGAGGAUGGUUCUGAAUGUCAAGACUGACGUUUUCUCAACCUGAACACAGCACCGCACACCGGCCUUGCUCUGGUUCCCACCGGCCCCAGCUACUCCACAUCCCAGGUGCCACGCACGAGCCAAAGACACAGCCCAAGGAUGAAGUAAUGGGAGCUGACCUGCAGCCUGCAACGUGAUCGGGGCAGUACAGAGCAGCAUCGGGUGAAUUGAACACAGAGAGGUGCGAGCAGAGCUGACCGUGCACCGGGCUGCACCAGCCUUCCUGCUGUUCCUCGAAAAACUCCCAGCCACAUACUGGCAUGAACAGAUCCCACUCAGUUCUUGGCAUUUAGCACGCUCACAGGCUGCAGUGAUUCAUAGAAAGCUCCUUGUUCUGGCCCUGGAAUGAGCGUACAUGUUUCAGAGCCUUUUUUUCAUGCAGCUAUGCUGCAGUCUCCUAAAAAUGCAUGUGCAGGCAGAUCGUUCUGCAGAUCCUAUGGCAACGGGCUGCACGGCGGCUGGCUGGCUGCAUGACAAUGUGCAAGGCUUGUGCAUGGAGAAACACCACGCUCACAGGGAGAAAACUUCCUAGGAAUAUUAGUAUGCAGCACCCACUGCCAAGAUAUCAUAGCAAUCCAGCAAGAUCUGACUGCUCAGAAUUAUUAUUCAUGUACAGUGGAAUAUGUAUUUUUUUUUUAAGCAGCAUUGUAAAUUAAUGCCAGCAAAACGUAAUUUGUAAUUUAAAUGUAAAUCAGAAUUGAGUAAGGAUAUAAUGAAGCUCCGAAUGCCUCGGUGGUAUUUGCUAACCCGUCUGUUUUGUGGUGCUUUUUUCACCAAGAUGUUAAAGUUCAUUGUUCAUGCUGAAUACCUCCAAGUGUGUUAUCUGUAUACGUGUGCAGUAAAUACAUACAUAAUAACGAAA
ensembl:lncRNA